CAAGCAAACCAGACAUGCCCUUAGAAAAACUUACGCCCAUCUCCUCAGUUGCCUGCCCCCAAUGCAUGUGCCCUCAGCUAUGUCGCCUCUGCAAUCUGUACCUCUGCUCAGCCUUUCCCCGCUGCCUGCUCUCGCUCAGCCAGGCACUCCUCACCCAUUAGCACUGUGGCGUGCCCGACAUCACUCGAAUCUGUCCAGACUCAUUUUGGGCCGAGGCCGACCUCGACUUUCCAUCUGUCGCUCGGGCACAGCGGAGGCAAGAAAUGAUUUUACUUUCACACUCACUUAGACGAUUUUCUGUUGGUACUCCAUGGUUUGCCUCCCCUUGCCCGCUGGGUGUUCGAUGAAAUUCUGUAUAUACUUCCUAAUUUUUUUAUGUGUGCAUUUAGCAGUUGGCCAUGUUUAAAGGGUAGAUGAAGACCCCACCAGUUCAGCCUCCGCCACGAAACAAUCUCUCCUUGUGGCCACCAGGCAGGGAACCCCGGUUUCUCGGAGGACGAUUGCUCUAAAUAUCGACGCUCUUAUGAUAGAAUCCGGUACGCAACUUAACCGUACAACAAAAACGGGCACGGGCCAAGGCUGCAAUUGAAAGCCGAAAAAUAAGCAUGAACAUCUCAAUCACCUUGCACCGCUGAAGGUAUGAGCAAUUGCUCAUUUUCGCUCGCUUUUGCGAAGUAACAUUACUUGCCCCCAACAGUGUUAUUCCUUCUGGACACUUACUGGAUCUACUUUCACAGACUUGACCUUCAUUUUCCUUUUCUGUUCUCAUAUAUGACUUCAGUGCUUUUGCAGUUCUCUGACCGAGCCAAUAGUUCGUGAGUGCAUAUAUUUUCCAUCUACAUUUCGCUUAGAGAAUAUUACUUGCCAGUUACUUCUUCUACCUUUUUACUGAGUGCCUAUAAGUGGACUGCAGCUAGAAACUAGGAAUCAUAAAAAGCACCUUCUGCUUUACUUUAACCAUAAGUAUUUCGGAUGUGCAAGCUUCUUUCAUGUUCACUCCAUAUGGGUGAAUUUUUUUUUUCUCUGUGGGUUAAGUGGUUUAUUUUAAUAAAUAGUUUAAGACCAAAAAAUAUAUACCAAACCCCCUACACGAAACCAAUAACCGCAGCUGAGCAGAACCCAACUAAUUACAUUUCAACCUCAAAACAGAUGAUUCAUGCUUGUUCGUCAAUCCCGGUUCUGCAUCCAUGCUUCUCCAUGCUGCUUAUGUGGCUGCACAGGGGAAGAAGAUAUGUUCUCAGGUCUCCACUUCAUAAUCAAAACUCACAUUGUGCUGAUAACAUGUGAAUAGAGAAUGUGAAACUGAGCAUGCUUUUUUGGUUGCAUAGACAACCAAGCAUCGUGGCAAAAUACGUUUUUCCUCCAUUUUCUCUAAUUCCACUAACACGCUUUUGGAAGUUUUUAGAGUCCUGAAAGAUAUGCCUUUAGUUAUGUGUUUUAUCAAAAAGGCUGCUGAAAAGGAGCCUAAAUAUUCUCUAUGUCAAUUCCAAACCCUAUAGUUCUAUUCCUUAAAACUCCGUUGACCUUUGGCAGGCCAACUUCUUCCCAUUUAACUUUUGCUCCAUCUGCACACUCAAAACUACUACGCUUACGAUGAAUUGUAUGUGUAUUACCUUUCUUUUUGUUUUUUGGAAAAAUGCAGUUUGCACCAACUGUAGUCGUGCUAAAAGUAAAAUAGUUAUCUACAUAGGAGUAAAAAGGUGACUCAUAUUUAGUCCUUUUUGUCACACCGAUACUCAUAUAAAUCCUCAAAUGAAAUCUCCUGACAAUAAUCAGUUUAUCAAACUUUCAUAAAAUCAAACAUUAAAAUCCCAAUCAACUAUACCAUCCAUACAUCUUGUGAAUUAUUGACAUCAAUUUUAUCUUUUGCUUACUAUAUUUUCUUCCUGGUUUGCUUUAUGAUUUUCUGGAGGUAAGGAGCGUGGAAUUCGCCAAACCAACUGGUUGGGUCUACAUAUCCCUUUCCAAGAAUGAUCCUCUAUAAGGUCUCAGGAAUCCUAUCCUUGACUGCCAUUUCAAUUCAUCUCAGCGAAGUUCAAGACACGCUUUUAUGAGAUAACAUGAAUGUAACCCUGUUGACAAAGAUGAUGCAGAAUGAAAGUCUCUCCAUUGAAUUUAUUAGGCCAGUCAAAAUUGCAAGUCGAGUAAGUUAGCUCUAUAUUGUAAAUGUUUCCCCUCAGAAGAAGUUCAGGAGUUUUGGCCUGUACUCAGGUGAUAUUUGAUUCUGUUGGUGUAGGAGUUAUAUGAGUGUGCUUGUGCAAUCUUGAAAGAUAGGUAACGAUUUGAUUUAUACAUCAAAAAAGUAAAAUAUGGAUUCAUAUGUAAAUUUUUUUUUACAGCUGUUUAAUUGAGCAAUCUCUGUGGAUACGCUAAACUGUCUUUCCUAGUGGAUUUAGCUAUUGAAGCAGUCUGCUAGGCCUGCUUAGCCACAAGGCACAACCCAUUUCAGCCGUUUAGGCAGUUGGUGCAGCCGAUAUCACUGUCCAGUAUUUACAUUGGACAAAGUGCUAAGGCUUCGCCCGACUAAUCCUCGGGGCUCUGUGAACCCCCGGUGGCGCAUAGAGCGGGUAAUUAUGCCAAAGGCGCUCCGGUGGCCCUAAGGGGAUUCGAACCCGGAAUCGGGUGCAAGUUUAGGCGCACCUUAAUCACUAGGCCAAACCCCUUGGGGUUCAUCGUUCUUGAAGUUGAACAUUUCUAAACCAGCCUCCUCGAUCUUUGAGCCUACAAGCUGUUUGCUUAUAUUGCUCCUUCUAUUCCGUGCAUAUGCAUCUGAAAUGCAGUCACCCUAAUUAGUGUUAAGUUUUACUUAAGGCACAUUCUGACACUCAAGUUUGAUUUUUAUUUUUUUUUGGUGAGUUUCUUGCAAUCAUGUUUAUAUAUGGAGGUAAGAAUUGACAAGUUUAAUAAUAAAUAUUGCAAUCGGAUUCUUUAUU